AAUAAGACAAACCCUGUUUCCGUGUCCAACAUUUGACCGUCCGUUUUAUUUAAAAAAAUUAUAAAAAAAAUUAAAAAGACAAGUCACGCAUAAAAUAUUAAUAUUUAUCAUCUAACAACAAUAAAAAUACGAAUUAUAAAAAAUUUUUAUAUAAGACGGACAAUUAAAAUUGGACACGGAAACCCAGGUUUUGUAUUUUU
rnacentral:pre_miRNA from 1 species